UGUCUUCAAUUUCUCUUAAUCUCCCCUGUGAUCUGAUACAUACAAUAAAUUCUUGAUGAGAAGCUUUGGCACAAGCAACCUAGCCCGACGUUCUUUCUCCUCCAGUCAACUCUCUCACGAAGUCUCUCCUAUAGAAAGCAUAAAAAAAACAGAGCACAGAGUCAUCCACUGUUGUGCAUAAGAUGGAAAGUGGUGAGCAAGUCACUUAGAAAAUGACUUCAAUGGAAAAGAAGAGGAAAAUCCCAAACGAGUUCCCUAAUCCAAGGUGAAUGUUGGAUUUUGGGCCCAUGAGAUGCCUUUCAUUUUCACACAUUCUCUCUUGGCCCUAGAAUCGCUCUCUUCCUCCUUGAUGUCUCUCUUUGCUAGGGCUCUUUGUAGUUCUAAUGGCAGUUUUAUUGACAGGAAUGUCCAAAGCUUUCUCAAAUAUUCCGCCACUCUUUCAAACCUUUACGUGGUAGAGGGGUUUGAUUCAAUGGCUCUCACUUCAUGACCAUCAUGGGUACCUACAAAGCUAUUCUUAUGCUAUUCUCCGUUGAUGCCGCAUUAGAAUUUUAAGGUCUAUGCUACUUUAUUCACUCCAAUCGUGCUAAGGAUUUCGUGGAUGACCAAGUGUAUCUGAUCGACUCCUGAGGAUGACCACUAGAGUGACUCCAAUACUAUAAUGGACGAUAUCGAUGUCA